rnacentral:rRNA from 1 species
CCUACGGGGGGCAGCAGUGAGGAAUAUUGGUCAAUGGGCUUACGCCUGAACCAGCCAAGUCGCGUGAGGGAAGACUGCCCUAUGGGUUGUAAACCUCUUUUGUCAGGGAGCAAUUGGCGCUACGUGUAGCGUUAUCGAGAGUACCUGAAGAAAAAGCAUCGGAUAACUCCGUGCCAGCAGCCGCGGUAAUACGGAGGAUGCGAGCGUUAUCCGGAUUUAUUGGGUUUAAAGGGUGCGUAGGCGGAAUGCCAAGUCAGCGGGAAAAUCGCGGGGCUCAACCUCGCUCCGCCGUUGAAACUGGCGUUCUUGAGUGGGCGAGAAGUAUGCGGAAUGCGUGGUGUAGCGGUGAAAUGCAUAGAUAUCACGCAGAACUCCGAUUGCGAAGGCAGCAUACCGGCGCCCAACUGACGCUGAAGCACGAAAGCGUGGGUAUCGAACAGGAUUAGAUACCCCAGUAGUC